rnacentral:lncRNA from 1 species
CGUUUGUAAAAAAGAUUGGGACCAAGCUGCUAAAAGACAACAAGGACUUCAAGAAGAUGACUCGGACGGUGAAGAAGAUCCUUGGAUGUUGAUGGAUACUUCGUCGUCCGAAGGCGGCAAUUCGGCAAAUGAACAAGAAUAAAUAAAAAAUUUCUUUCUUUAUGUAUUUUUUUAAUUUAGUUUGUACAAGCGGUUUGUUCCGUUAAAUUUUUUAGAGAGGAGUCCUCUCACAUUAUUUGUAAUUUUUUUUUCUAAUUUAUAAAAUUUACAAGAGGUACCGCCCUCUUUUUACAAUUUAUUUAUUGUUUUAUAAUAAAUAAAUUGUACAAAGUUUAUAAUAAAUUUAUUAUUCAUUAAAUUAAACUAUUAAAUUCCAUUGCAAAAGUUUAGUAGAUCCNGAGGUACCGCCCUCUUUUUACAAUUUAUUUAUUGUUUUAUAAUAAA